UACGUAGGGUGCAAGCGUUAAUCGGAAUUACUGGGCGUAAAGCGUGCGCAGGCGGCUUUGCAAGACAGAUGUGAAAUCCGUCCGGCACACGAUGGACUGCAUUUGUGACUGCAAGGCUGGAGUACGGCAGAGGGGGAUGGAAUUCCGCGUGUAGCAGUGAAUGCGUAGAUAUGCGGAGGAACACCGAUGGCGAAGGCAAUCCCCUGGGCUGA
rnacentral:rRNA from 1 species